UACGUAGGGGGCAAGCGUUGUCCGGAAUCAUUGGGCGUAAAGCGCGCGUAGGCGGCCAGAUAAGUCCGGUGUGAAAGUCACAGGCUCAACCUGUGAAUGCCGCUGGAAACUAUCUGGCUAGAGUCCGGAAGGGGCGAGUGGAAUUCCUGGUGUAGCGGUGAAAUGCGCAGAUAUCAGGAGGAACACCUAUGGCGAAGGCAGCCCCCUGGGCUAACACUGACGCUCAGGCACGAAAGCGUGGGGAGCAAACAGG
rnacentral:rRNA from 1 species